GCGGGGCCGGUGCUCGCCGUCCGCCGCUGCGAUCGCGGUCGCCGACCUCGGAAUCAGCAUGGAGUUCGACUCCGUCGAGGCGCUCCAGUCCGUCUUCCCCGAAGCCGACCCGCAGGUUCCGUUGCCGGAGGCGGCCGAGCCCACAACACCGGGCACCGGAUUUGAAGUGGCAUUUAAAUUGUGAUAUUUGGUGAAAAUAUAAUGUAAUUUUUCCAUGAAUAGUCUUGAUUUCAGCACAUAGAAAACACUAAUGGUUUGGGUUCAUCCUAUAAGUAUUAACGUUUAUGAUAUAGAUUGUAGAAUUUUCCUAAUAUUUACCAUGUGAGAAUGUCUAAGUGUGAGCAAAUAUAUGUGGGUGUAUUUUAUUGGUAUGCCUAUUGUGUUUCAUAUGUAUUGUUCUUUAUUGAGUCAAUUGGGAAAUCCUUGCUUCUUUUAA